rnacentral:rRNA from 1 species
UGGGGGGACCACCCUCCAAGCCUAAGUACUCCUUAGUGACCGAUAGUGAACAAGUACCGUGAGGGAAAGGUGAAAAGCACCCCGAUGAGGGGAAUGAAAUAGACCUGAAACCGAAUGCUUACAAGCAGUAGGAGCCAUCAUGACCUUCGGGUUGUGUGUGGUGACUGCGUACCUUUUGUAUAAUGGGUCAGCGAGUUAGUCUCACGAGCGAGCUUAAGCCGAUAGGUGUAGGCGUAGCGAAAGCGAGUCUGAAUAGGGCGAUAGUUCGUGGGAUUAGACCCGAAACCAAGUGAUCUAGCCAUGGGCAGGUUGAAGGAUGGGUAACACUAUCUGGAGGACCGAACCCACGUCUGUUGAAAAAGACGGGGAUGACCUGUGGUUAGGGGUGAAAAGGCUAAUCAAACUUGGAAAUAGCUGGUUCUCCGCGAUAUCUAUUUAGGUAGAGCGUUGAUGGAUUACCACUGG